rnacentral:rRNA from 1 species
GACGAAGGGGGCUAGCGUUGUUCGGAAUUACUGGGCGUAAAGCGCGUGUAGGCGGUUGUCCAAGUUGGAUGUGAAAGCCUUGAGCUUAACUCAAGAAAUGCAUUCAGGACUGGAUGACUAGAGGACCGGAGAGGAUAGUGGAAUUCCCAGUGUAGUGGUGAAAUACGUAGAGAUUGGGAAGGACACCAGUGGCGAAGGCGGCUAUCUGGACGGUUUCUGACGCUAAGACGCGAAAGCGUGGGGAGCAAACAGG